rnacentral:rRNA from 1 species
AGGGUUUGAUUAUGGCUCAGGAUAAACGCUGGCGGCGCACAUAAGACAUGCAAGUCGAACGGAAGUCGUUAUACAAGGAGAGAAGAUUUAUCGGAUUGAAUUAUAUAACAAUGGCUUUAGUGGCGGACUGGUGAGUAACGCGUAAGAAAUCUACCUAUUAGAGGGGAACAACAAUGAGAAAUCAUUGCUAAUACCGCAUAUGCCAUAAACAUCGCAUGAUGAAAGUGGGAAAGGAGCAAUCCGCUGAUAGAUGAUCUUGCGUCUGAUUAGUUAGUUGGUGGGGUAAUGGCCUACCAAGACGACGAUCAGUAGCCGGACUGAGAGGUUGAACGGCCACAUUGGGACUGAGAUACGGCCCAG